CAGAAUUUGAGUUUCAGUGUCCAAAUCAGGAGCUGCCGGGCAUUCAGCAAGUUACUUAUUUGAACUUGUUUCCUCGCAGUCAAAUAGGGUCAAUUCCACCCCCUGCUUAAGGUUGAUCUCGGAUCUGAAUGUGCCACUGUGCCUAAAGGGCCAGUGUGUGAUUUCGGAGUCCCAGCCCUGACUGUGGGCGCUGACCACAUCCCAUCUGGCUUCUUAGAGUGGGGAGCUCAGAGCUGGGUGGACAGGCAAUGUCUGCAUGUCAUGAGUGAGUGACCUUCCGAACGGCUUUGAUGCCUUGUCAUUUUACACUGCCCUCAAGACUCUUCCAUCAUCAAGUUCCAGAUCAGCAUGUUCACAGCUCUUUUUAGCUUAGCUAUUCAGCAGGCAUUUAUAAAGCGCCCACUGUAUGCAAAGCCCAGGGCUUGGGGGAUCCCCCCACUCCUGUCACCUGCAAGAAGCCUCCCUAUCAAUCAUAAGAGAGAUUGUCCCUGAAGUCCCAGGCGACUCUGCCGAGCUGGAGAGGUGGUGAAGGCUGUCCCAGAAGGAACUGGUCAUGGCUUUGCCCGUGGUGCCCUCUCCUCUCCCUGUCCCAUAUUUGCCAUUGCCG
rnacentral:lncRNA from 1 species